rnacentral:tRNA from 1 species
GCCACGGUGGUCUAGCGGUUAGAACGCUGGCCUUGUAAUCCUGGUGGUCUCGGGUUCGAUUCCCGGCGGUGCCC